CAGAAAGUAGUUUAAGUUAAAAUGCCAGCUUUGGGAGUUGGAGAUGAAGGUGCAACUCCUUUCUUUUUGA
rnacentral:tRNA from 1 species